rnacentral:rRNA from 1 species
GACGAACGCUGGCGGCGUGCUUAACACAUGCAAGUCGAACGGAAAGGCCCUGCUUUUGUGGGGUGCUCGAGUGGCGAACGGGUGAGUAACACGUGAGUAACCUGCCCUUGACUUUGGGAUAACUUCAGGAAACUGGGGCUAAUACCGGAUAGGAGCUCCUGCUGCAUGGUGGGGGUUGGAAAGUUUCGGCGGUUGGGGAUGGACUCGCGGCUUAUCAGCUUGUUGGUGGGGUAGUGGCUUACCAAGGCUUUGACGGGUAGCCGGCCUGAGAGGGUGACCGGGGGAAUUGGGGGGGAGAUACGGCGGAGAGUGCGAGGGGAGGGGGGGGUGGGGAGGAGGGGAGAAUGGGCGGAAGGGUGAUGCAGCAGCGCCGGGUGAGGGAAGAGGGGGGGGGGGGUGUAAAGCGCAGGAGCCUGUGACGAAGCGGGAGGGACGGGAAGGGGUAAAGAAGCAAAGGAGAAAGAAGUG